rnacentral:lncRNA from 1 species
GAGAAGCAAGACUCUCCCUGAGCUGGAGCUGGCCCUCAAGCAAGGGUCUGCUGCUUCACUCCUGAAGUCAGCUAGACCAUGAACCCACCAGGAGGAACAAACUCUGGACACACCAUCUUUAAGAACUGUAACACUCACUGGGAGGAGCCACAGCUUCAUUCUUGAAGUCAGCAAGACCAAGAACCUACCGGAAGUAACCAAUUCCAGAUACAAUGUCAUACUACAUUUCAACAAACAUUGUGCUACAAUACAAUGCAUUUAAAAUAUUUGGACUUUUUCAAACUUUCAACUUUUAGAAGACUAACAUUUUCUUUAAAAUAUAUGUUGCUUUUCUCUGUUAUUUAUGGGUUAUUUAGCCAACAAUUUGUGAUUGAAGCUGUGUGUCCAAGCAAUUGGAGCUUCUGAAUUUAAUAAAAACAAAUCUUC